UACGUAGGGUGCAAGCGUUGUCCGGAAUUAUUGGGCGUAAAGAGCUCGUAGGCGGUCUGUCGCGUCUGCUGUGAAAACUCAGGGCUUAACCCUGAGCUUGCAGUGGGUACGGGCAGACUAGAGUGCGGUAGGGGAGACUGGAAUUCCCGGUGUAGUGGUGAAAUGCGUAGAUAUCUGGAGGAACACCGGUGGCGAAGGCGGCAUCCUGGACCGGCAUUGACGCUGAGGCGCGAAAGCCAGGGGGAGCAAACGGG
rnacentral:rRNA from 1 species